rnacentral:rRNA from 1 species
ACCCGCUGAACUUAAGCAUAUCAAUAAGCGGAGGAAAAGAAACCAACAGGGAUUGCCCUAGUAACGGCGAGUGAAGCGGCAACAGCUCAAAUUUGAAAUCUGGCGUCUUUGGCGUCCGAGUUGUAAUUUGCAGAGGGCGCUUUGGCAUUGGCAGCGGUCCAAGUUCCUUGGAACAGGACGUCACAGAGGGUGAGAAUCCCGUACGUGGUCGCUAGCCUUUACCGUGUAAAGCCCCUUCGACGAGUCGAGUUGUUUGGGAAUGCAGCUCUAAAUGGGAGGUAAAUUUCUUCUAAAGCUAAAUACUGGCCAGAGACCGAUAGCUCACAAGUAGAGUGAUCGAAAGAUGAAAAGCACUUUGGAAAGAGAGUUAAAAAGCACGUGAAAUUGUUGAAAGGGAAGCGCUGGCAGCCAGACUUGCCUGUAGUUGCUCAUCCGGGUUUUUACCCGGUGCACUCUUCUAUAGGCAGGCCAGCAUCAGUUUGGGCGGUUGGAUAAAGGUCUCUGUCAUGUACCUCUCUUCGGGGAGAACUUAUAGGGGAGACGACAUGCACCCAGCCCGGACUGAGGUCCGCGCAUCUGCUAGGAUGCUGGCGUAAUGGCUGU